AAACUUCUGGCUGGAUGUUGUUGUGCUGGCCCUUUGGGGCAAUGUGCACACCUCUGGUCAUCUGUUUCUUCUGUUCCACCUGUGCACUGCCUGUAGACACACUCUGUGUGGUCUAUGAUAUGUUUACAUACACACAUAUAUGGGCAUAUUAUAUAUAUAAUAAAAUUACAACUUUCAACAAUGGAUCUCUUGGCUCUCGCAUCGAUGAAGAACACAGCGAAAUGUGAUAAGUAAUGUGAAUUGCAGAAUCCAGUGAAUCAUCGAAUCUUUGAACGCAUCUUGCGCUCCUUGGUAUUCCAAGGAGCAUGCCUGUUUGAGUGUCAUUAAACUAUCAAAACACUUUUCUUGGGUGUUUUGGACUUUGGGAGUAUAUUGCUGGUCUGUUUGAGCCAGCUCUCCUCAAAAGCAUUAGCUUUGGAGACCAUCAGUGUGAUAAUUUGUUUACACUGACUUGAGUGUCUCAGCUUCUCCUUUCGAUGCCCCUCUGACCUCAAAUCAGGUAGGACUACCCGCUGAACUUAAGCAUAUC
rnacentral:rRNA from 1 species